CCCAUUGUCACAUAAUCUUGCUUUUGAAAAUGUGCUACAAUGGAUUUGAUCUGAUUUCUAAGGUGCUGUCACCAGAGCAUCAUUAAAAGUCCUUUAAGAAAGGAGAAUAGACUAGAUCACCGAAGGCAGCUUUGUCCCCUCCUCUCUUCUGUGCUUUUUGACGUGCUUUCCCUUCCAGCUGACAGAAGGGGCACGGCCUGUAAGCUCCGAACAAUUAACACGGAUCAUUUUAUUUUCCUUUAAUCAACAAGACAAAGUUACUGGAAGAAUCAAAGCAAUGCUCUUUGGAAGACAGGAGUUUUAACUCUUUACUUCACCAUCUUGGCGUGGACUGAUUCCACAUUCCUAUGGUUGGCCCUACGAUUGGCUCUACUAAAAGUAAUAAAUAGAAUCUCCAAUUAAGCUGGACAAAUGGCUUCCUGGAUGAAGACUACAAUUCCCAGACUUCCUGGAUAAAGACUACAAUUCUCAGACACCUUAGUCCAGGUGGCUGUGUGGCUAAGUUCUGCUGAGAAGAUGUAACUGGAAGCAGUGUGUGCUCAUUCUUGAGGUAUAUACUGAAGAGAAAUGAAAAUGUAUGUCUACACAAAACUGGCACAUAAAUGUCCAUAGCAGCAUUAUUCUAAUAACCAAAGGGUGGAAAAACCCAGAUGUCUACC